CACGUAGUUAGCCGUGGCUUAUUCAUCAGGUACCGUCACUUGCUUCGUCCCUGAUAAAAGAAGUUUACAACCCGAAAGCCUUCUUCCUUCACGCGGCGUUGCUGGGUCAGGCUUGCGCCCAUUGCCCAAUAUUCCCCACUGCUGCCUCCCGUAGGAGUCUGGGCCGUGUCUCAGUCCCAAUGUGGCCGGUCAACCUCUCAGUCCGGCUACUGAUCGUCGCCUUGGUGGGCCGUUACCCCGCCAACCAGCUAAUCAGACGCGAGUCCAUCUCAGAGCGAUAAAUCUUUGGCAGCCAGAGCCAUGCGGCCCAACUGCAUUAUGCGGUAUUAGCACAUCUUUCGAUGUGUUAUUCCCCACUCCAAGGCAGGUUACUCACGCGUUACUCACCCGUCCGCCACUAGGUAACCUUCUCAAUUGGACGAAUCCUCUUUCAAAGGCACCCCGUUCGACUUGCAUGUGUUAAGCACGCCGCCAGCGUUCAUCCUGAGCCAGGAUCAAA
rnacentral:rRNA from 1 species